rnacentral:rRNA from 1 species
CCUACGGGCGGCAGCAGUGAGGAAUAUUGGUCAAUGGACGAGAGUCUGAACCAGCCAAGUAGCGUGAAGGAUGACUGCCCUAUGGGUUGUAAACUUCUUUUAUAUGGGAAUAAAAUGUUCCACGUGUGGGAUUUUGUAUGUACCAUAUGAAUAAGGAUCGGCUAACUCCGUGCCAGCAGCCGCGGUAAUACGGAGGAUACGAGCGUUAUCCGGAUUUAUUGGGUUUAAAGGGAGCGUAGGUGGAUUGUUAAGUCAGUUGUGAAAGUUUGCGGCUCAACCGUAAAAUUGCAGUUGAAACUGGCAGUCUUGAGUACAGUAGAGGUGGGCGGAAUUCGUGGUGUAGCGGUGAAAUGCUUAGAUAUCACGAAGAACUCCGAUUGCGAAGGCAGUUCACUGGACUGCAACUGACACUGAGGCUCGAAAGUGUGGGUAUCAAACAGGAUUAGAUACCCGGGUAGUC